rnacentral:rRNA from 1 species
AUUGAACGCUGGCGGCAGGCUUAACACAUGCAAGUCGAGCGGAGAUGAGGUGCUUGCACCUUAUCUUAGCGGCGGACGGGUGAGUAAUGCUUAGGAAUCUGCCUAUUAGUGGGGGACAACAUUCCGAAAGGAAUGCUAAUACCGCAUACGUCCUACGGGAGAAAGCAGGGGAUCUUCGGACCUUGCGCUAAUAGAUGAGCCUAAGUCGGAUUAGCUAGUUGGUGGGGUAAAGGCCUACCAAGGCGACGAUCUGUAGCGGGUCUGAGAGGAUGAUCCGCCAAACUGGGAUUGAGUAACGGCCCCGACUCCUACGGGAGGCAGCAGUGUGGAAUAUUGGACAAUGGGGGGAAACCUGAUCCAGGCAUGCCGCGUGUGUAAAGAAGGCCUUAUGGUUGUAAAGCUCUCUAGCGUGGGAAGAAGGUAGAUAUGGUGAAUAAUCAUGUUUGCUGACGGUACCACGAGAAUAAGCACCGGCUAACUUCGUGCCAGCCGCCGCGGUAA